CAAGGAGACGCUCACAGCGGUGAAGGUGACGGUGGCAGUGAACAGAUACUGAAGGGACGGAGGGAAGCAAGAGAAAGCAGAGCAGAGGAGGAGAGGGCAGCAUCAGCAGUGCGCAAGCUCUCUUCGUCUGACACACGCCCCCCACCACCACCACCCUCCCUCCCCGCACACCAGUGUCGACGUGUGCCUGAGCCUGCGUGUGCCACAGCACCGCCUCUGAAAUCAGCCGCGUCUCCCUCUCUCUCUCUCCGCCUCGAUGUUCACCACUCCAUCACCAUAACCACAAUCUUUGCCUUGACCCACGUUUACCGUGCAUCACUCUUUUUAGCCUAUUUACACCAUCAUUCUUUUUGGCUUGUUCCUUAUCUGCCUGCGCUCGCGGAGGAGAGGAGGCCUUGGUUGUUGCGCACGUGUUGCGAAACCAAAAGACGCGCCCUCGCCCCCUCUCCCAUCGCCACAAACCACUACCACACACAUCAGCAGCGACCACUGCGGUCCCGUGCAUCGACGAUAAUUAGAAAUCUAAUCAGUGCGCCGUGUGCACCCGUAGGUAGCCGCCACAGCUGCAGCACCUGUUUUCUUUCGCCCCUCUCACUUUUGAAGGGCAGAACAGCGAUACAAACAAAGCAAACAAAAGGGUGGCUCCCACGCAUGUCCGCCUCUCUGUUCGCGAAGCGCCGUCCGCGCCGGGCCACAGUGCUGCUCGUGGUUGCGUCACUGGCGCUUCUCUUCGUUUCCGCUGCGUGUUGUGCGAAUUCGGCGCGUGAAGUGCAGCCUACUGUUGAGCAGAACAAGGACCCGUACGCCUACCUCGACAUGCUGGAUGAGGUGGACCUACAGCAAAUGCUAUAUGAAAAGACGCAUGGGCAGGUGCCGGUCAGCGCUUUCCGCGACAAGAAGGAGCUGGUUGCCGCAGUGCGCAAGCUCGAGGAGCGCGAGGACGAGGAGGCCAGCUUCAACGCGCGUGUGAUGGCGGCGAUGCAGCGCAAGGCCGCCCUGAUGCAGCAGAACAACGGUGCAGAUGCCCCAUCGGCGAAAGCGGGCAGCCGGGUGUCGUCGCCGUCCCCGCGGCAUCACCGAAGCGCGGCUGAGGAGAACAAUAACAUUAAGGAUAGUAAGGAGAAAAAAACGAGAAAGGUAGUGCAACUAAUGGAUGAAGACGAGAUGAAGACGCAAGAUGGGCCAAGUCACAGUCAAGAGAAGGCUCGCGCAACUGAUGUGUCCGCAGCUGGUGGUGGUGCUGGAUACGCAGGCGCGAAGAAAGCGUCGCCCACUCGGCAACUCUCUGCAAUGCAUGAGUUGGAAGUGCUGUACUGUACCGGAUGAGGAUACGCGAAGUAUUUUGAAGAUAUGAAGCAGCAGCUGCAACGUACGCUGCCCAACGCACAAGAGGUACGCAUUGUGGGCGGUACCUACCCCACCCCACCUGCCCGCGCCCUCGCCGCGAAGGCGUGCUCGACCGCCUUUCUGGCCUCCCUCGGUGUCGCCCUUGCAGGACAGCAACUCGUGUUUCUGCCCCCCACCGUUCUGAACUUCAUCGCUCAGCAGCGCGGCAUGUUGAUCGGCGCUGGUUUCUUGCUCAAUAUGGUCGGCGGCGCCCUCGGGCAGACCGGUGCCUUCGAGGUGAGCUUGGACGGCGAACUUAUCUUCUCAAAACUGCAGGCUGGGGCUGUACCGACCGUGGCGGAAAUACGUCGUAUUGUCCUGCAGAAGACGCUGCUGGACAAGUACGGCGAUAGCAGCGCGGCAUCAUCGUAGAGUGUAUUCCAAAAAGAAAACCGAAUAGAGGCAGCGAAAGAACAAGACUGCGCCACAAGCCUUGGCGGCAGCGUUGCCACCCACGGGAAAGUGUGAGUGAGUGUGUGCGCUGUCGUGGCGCAAUAAAAAGGUACACGUUUGGCGCUCUGGCAUGUGAGCGUGUAGGUGCACGCGUGGAAGUGGCUAGUGACGACCUUCGCGGUCUGUCAUCUCACCAUCCUCUUCCCGUCUCUCUCUUUCUCGCCGCCUCGCAG
rnacentral:misc_RNA from 1 species